CUCUUCUAAAAAAACAGUCUUCAAAGGGAUAAUAACAGAGAAGAAACAGGAUCAUGAACUGGCUGCCUCUAAUUUUCAUUCUCACAGUUUUGAAAGGCAGUUCACCCAGUCAUACCAUUACUGAAUCUGGUGGUGAUGUUAAGAGGCCUGGGGAGUCCAUAAAACUGACUUGUACAGUGUCUGGAUUUUCUGUAGCAGAGGCGUACAUGGACUGGAUCCGUCAACGUCCAGGCGAGGGACUGGAAUGGGUUGGACGUAUUGCAAAGAGUGGGACUGUAUAUUAUAAUAGUAUUUUGCAAAAUCGGUUAACCCUCACAAGAGAUACCUCCAAAAAUCAGGUAUUUGUCCAACUCAAUGGUCUAAAACCUGAAGACACUGCCUUGUAUUCCUGCGUAAAUAACACACAGUGA